GAUGAACGCUGGCGGCGUGCCUAAUACAUGCAAGUCGAGCGAACAGACGAGGAGCUUGCUCCUUUGACGUUAGCGGCGGACGGGUGAGUAACACGUAGGUAACCUACCUAUAAGACUGGGAUAACUUCGGGAAACCGGAGCUAAUACCGGAUAAUAUUUCGAACCGCAUGGUUCGAUAGUGAAAGAUGGCUUUGCUAUCACUUAUAGAUGGACCUGCGCCGUAUUAGCUAGUUGGUAAGGUAACGGCUUACCAAGGCAACGAUACGUAGCCGACCUGAGAGGGUGAUCGGCCACACUGGAACUGAGACACGGUCCAGACUCCUACGGGAGGCAGCAGUAGGGAAUCCUCCGCAAUGGGCGAAAGCCUGACGGAGCAACGCCGCGUGAGUGAUGAAGGUCUUCGGAUCGUAAAACUCUGUUAUUAGGGAAGAACAAACGUGUAAGUAACUGUGCACGUCUCGACGGUACCUAAUCAGAAAGCCACGGCUAACUACGUG
rnacentral:rRNA from 1 species